CAGCCGCCGCGGUAACACAGAGGGUGCGAGCGUUAAUCGGAUUUACUGGGCGUAAAGCGUGCGUAGGCGGCUUCUUAAGUCGGAUGUGAAAUCCCUGAGCUUAACUUAGGAAUUGCAUUCGAUACUGGGAAGCUAGAGUAUGGGAGAGGAUGGUAGAAUUCCAGGUGUAGCGGUGAAAUGCGUAGAGAUCUGGAGGAAUACCGAUGGCGAAGGCAGCCAUCUGGCCUAAUACUGACGCUGAGGUACGAAAGCAUGGGGAGCAAACAGGAUUAGAUACCCGCGUAGUCCCUGUCUCUUAUAA
rnacentral:rRNA from 1 species